rnacentral:tRNA from 1 species
GGGCCGUUAGCUCAGUCGGUAGAGCAGCUGGCUUUUAACCAGUUGGUCGUUGGUUCGAGUCCAACACGGCCCACCA